UGAUUUCAGGGUGGAGAAUGGUAGUUUGUACAUCUAGCUCUAUGACGAAUGAGAAUCUAAUUCCUGAACGUUGAAAUAGGAUGGGAAAUAAGGGAUGAGUGUGGGGUAGUAUUGUAAAGUACAGUCGUGUUGUAGCCCCCAUAGUUAAGGCAAGUCACGGGAAGGUAAACAAAGCUGCCAUAGGCCUACAGAUCAUGUCAAAAGAGAGAGAGAUAGAACUUGUCGACAUUUUAAAUUUUAAAGAAGGAAAAUCUCAUGGCCAGUGUCCCUCGUGCCGGUACAUCAUGGGAGGUUUGUUGGCCUUGGCGAGAGUGCAGUGUGUGGAAGCCUUGAUGUUGCCUCGUAUUGGUUAUAAUUAGGAAUAAGUGCAAUUGGUGUGUCGCAACUGAUAAAAUGUUUGGUAAAUGUUUUGAAAUCGGUCAUUCGUGGCGAUAGAGUAAAAUUAACCAUUGUAUGUAACUGAUGUGAUUUGAUUGCUGAGUUUAUUUUUGUUGUGACUGUAUUGGAUAUUGAAGCCGAUGAAUAUGUUCAAAUGUAGAAAGUUGUUGGUUAUUUCAUAAAGCGGGCAUUGUGCGUUAGAAUUAAGUAUGUUGGAUAUACCGGGUUUACUAUUCAUUGAGAAUUAUUGAGCUUUUAACCGACUGGGGAAACUAAGUAGGGAUUGUUUUUAAAUAUUUUCUUAAGGAACAAGGGCCCCAUUUGUUGUGGCUUGAUUCUGGGUCAUUGGUCCAUUUUGUAUUUACUGUGUUGGAUGUCAAACCCUUAGACCUACUCGUCUAGUGUGGGCUGUUCAGGGGAAUUACCAAGUUAAAAUAGUUUAUUUAUACAAUAAGUUAAUAAGGAAAAGGCAAGAACUAUGUAAAUGUUGAUAGAUUGGUCGUGACACUGUUUUUAACUUGUCCAUAGAAAAUGCCUUAGACAGUGAUAAAGUUGAUACUUCAAGUGAUCUUAUGACCUCUGUACCUGUAAAUUCCUGGCAAAGGUUGAAAUAAAACGUAUACCAUGUAUAUGCUAAACAAAAGGAGCUUUGAAGUCCUCUUUUGUGAUAUUGUGGAUGCAAUUUGGCCUUUGCCAGAGAACCAUUUGGUGGAGAGACUACAGUGAUUUGCUUUAAGCUAUGCUACUCUUAAUUGCCUUUAGACUGUUGCUUCAUUUCCAUGAACCAAAGUUAAAUGGUAGCAGAAGAUUGAAAUUUACUGGUGCUUGAAUUCAGAUGGUGAAUUCGGUAUUUGAAAAUUGCACAUUUCGUGGGCACAGUACACUCCUGAUGUUUAUAAACUCGAUGAGAAAGAGGCAUUCUAUGCCAAACUUGCAUCUAUGGCAGACAGAUGUUGCCGGCUAAAUAUUUGCAUCAUACUGGCCAAUAAUUUUUGGCUGUGAAUGAGCUGGAUACAAGAUGUCUGUUGGUCAUCAUGGCUCAGGAGCUGGAUCAUCGGGUACAGUUGGCAGGACCAUGUGUCCAGCUGACAGCUACACUGUGAGACUGGCAUCGGACCUGUUACUUGCAUAAUAUGAGAUUGUCAACUCAGGCUAUGUGGGCACCCUAGCUCAUUUCCCUGUGGAUAACCCUACCCAUCAGGUUUCCUCCUUUAGACAAUCCUGGAUGGAGGAGGCCAGUUGGAUGAUGUGGGGGUUAUGGCUUGAGCAGCUUGACCAGACCUGUCACAAGGAGCUAGAGAUGGGCUGAGAGCCUGCCAAGAGAUUUGCCAUGAGGGACCCCAUGAGUGGACGUGAAGGGUGGAUAUGGCCAUGCACCCCUGUCGGCGUUAAACCCCAAUGAGGAUGACGAAGGCAAACUACAGUGGUUCUUCGUGACUUGAUGCUCGGUGGAUUCCAGACGAUGUGAAGUCUUCAUUCCUUGAAAGUGAUGACAAAAAAUGUGGGAGUUUGAUCCAGAAGUGUAGAUGUAUGGAUUGAGGCUACUACUCGUAUUGAAGAUCUGACAGGUUGUGACCAUCUGAGGUGGCUGUAGAGUGGAAAUUGCAGUGUUGGACUUGCAUAUUGGGCCUACCUUCUAUUGCUACUCAAUCAUUUCAUCCACAAAAGAUGUGUGCGACUGAUCUCAAAUGCCUUCAUGAUGGUUUUGGAUGCCGUGACUGCUAGACCUUCCAACCUGUCACUGAAAAUUUAGCCUCUGGGAGGUAGACAAUCAUGUUAAUUUGAUGUGAGAAUAAACAAAUAAAGUAUUAAUAAUG